GAUGAACGCUGGCGGCGUGCCUAAUACAUGCAAGUCGAGCGAACAGACGAGGAUUUUGCUCCUCUGACGUUAGCGGCGGACGGGUGAGUAACACGUGGAUAACCUACCUAUAAGACUGGGAUAACUUCGGGAAACCGGAGCUAAUACCGGAUAAUAUAUUGAACCGCAUGGUUCAUUAGUGAAAGACGGUUUUGCUGUCACUUAUAGAUGGAUCCGCGCCGCAUUAGCUAGUUGGUAGGGUAACGGCUUACCAAGGCAACGAUGCGUAGCCGACCUGAGAGGAUGAUCGGCCACACUGGAACUGAGACACGGUCCAGACUCCUACGGGAGGCAGCAGUAGGGAAUCUUCCGCAAUGGGCGAAAGCCUGACGGAGCAACGCCGCGUGAGUGAUGAAGGUCUUCGGAUCGUAAAGCUCUGUUAUUAGGGAAGAACAAAUGUGUAAUUAACUAUGCACGUCUUGACGGUACCUAAUCAGAAAGCCACGGCUAACUACGUG
rnacentral:rRNA from 1 species